AUUGAACGCUGGCGGCAUGCUUUACACAUGCAAGUCGAACGGUAACAGGCCGCAAGGUGCUGACGAGUGGCGAACGGGUGAGUAAUGCAUCGGAACGUGCCCAGUCGUGGGGGAUAACGCAGCGAAAGCUGCGCUAAUACCGCAUACGAUCUAUGGAUGAAAGCGGGGGACCGAAAGGCCUCGCGCGAUUGGAGGGGCCGAUGUCAGAUUAGGUAGUUGGUGGGGUAAAGGCUCACCAAGCCAACGAUCUGUAGCUGGUCUGAGAGGACGACCAGCCACACUGGGACUGAGACACGGCCCAGACUCCUACGGGAGGCAGCAGUGGGGAAUUUUGGACAAUGGGCGCAAGCCUGAUCCAGCAAUGCCGCGUGCAGGAAGAAGGCCUUCGGGUUGUAAACUGCUUUUGUACGGAACGAAACGGUCCGGGUUACUACCCUGGGCUAAUGACGGUACCGUAAGAAUAAGCACCGGCUAACUACGUGCCAGCAGCCGCAGUAAGAC
rnacentral:rRNA from 1 species